AUUCUUGCCACGAGUCUCAAAUUGACAGGAAUCACCAUAUUUUCUGGAGAUCAGGGAGCGGGAAAACU
rnacentral:pre_miRNA from 1 species